rnacentral:rRNA from 1 species
UGACCUCAAAUCAGGUAGGACUACCCGCUGAACUUAAGCAUAUCAAUAAGCGGAGGAAAAGAAACUAACAAGGAUUCCCCUAGUAACUGCGAGUGAAGCGGGAAAAGCUCAAAUUUAAAAUCUGAUGGUCUUUAUGGCCUUCCGAGUUGUAAUCUAGAGAAGUGCUAUCCGCGCUGGACCGUGUACAAGUCUCCCUGGAACGGAGCGUCAUAGAGGGGUGAGGAAUCCCCGUUCUUUGCCCCACCGGACUACCCC